rnacentral:snRNA from 1 species
GGUCAUUUUGAUGAACACAUACUAAAAUUAGAACAAUGCAAAGGAAAUUAGCAUAAUUUUUGCGCAAGAAUGACACGCAAAUACGUGAAGUGAUUUCAAAUAGA